rnacentral:rRNA from 1 species
AUGCUGGAGGUAUCAGAAGUGCGAAUGCUGACAUAAGUAACGAUAAAGCGGGUGAAAAGCCCGCUCGCCGGAAGACCAAGGGUUCCUGUCCAACGUUAAUCGGGGCAGGGUGAGUCGACCCCUAAGGCGAGGCCGAAAGGCGUAGUCGAUGGGAAACAGGUUAAUAUUCCUGUACUUGGUGUUACUGCGAAGGGGGGACGGAGAAGGCUAUGUUGGCCGGGCGACGGUUGUCCCGGUUUAAGCGUGUAGGCUGGUUUUCCAGGCAAAUCCGGAAAAUCAAGGCUGAGGCGUGAUGACGAGGCACUACGGUGCUGAAGCAACAAAUGCCCUGCUUCCAGGAAAAGCCUCUAAGCAUCAGGUAACAUCAAAUCGUACCCCAAACCGACACAGGUGGUCAGGUAGAGAAUACCAAGGCGCUUGAGAGAACUCGGGUGAAGGAACUAGGCAAAAUGGUGCCGUAACUUCGGGAGAAGGCACGCUGAUACGUAGGUGAAGUCCCUUGCGGAUGGAGCUGAAAUCAGUCGAAGAUACCAGCUGGCUGCAACUGUUUAUUAAAAACACAGCACUGUGCAAACACGAAAGUGGACGUAUACGGUGUGACGCCUGCCCGGUGCCGGAAGGUUAAUUGAUGGGGUUAGCGGUAACGCGAAGCUCUUGAUCGAAGCCCCGGUAAACGGCGGCCGUAACUAUAACGGUCCUAAGGUAGCGAAAUUCCUUGUCGGGUAAGUUCCGACCUGCACGAAUGGCGUAAUGAUGGCCAGGCUGUCUCCACCCGAGACUCAGUGAAAUUGAACUCGCUGUGAAGAUGCAGUGUACCCGCGGCAAGACGGAAAGACCCCGUGAACCUUUACUAUAGCUUGACACUGAACAUUGAGCCUUGAUGUGUAGGAUAGGUGGGAGGCUUUGAAGUGUGGACGCCAGUCUGCAUGGAGCCGACCUUGAAAUACCACCCUUUAAUGUUUGAUGUUCUAACGUUGGCCCCUGAUCGGGGUUGCGGACAGUGUCUGGUGGGUAGUUUGACUGGGGCGGUCUCCUCCUAAAGAGUAACGGAGGAGCACGAAGGUUGGCUAAUCCUGGUCGGACAUCAGGAGGUUAGUGCAAUGGCAUAAGCCAGCUUGACUGCGAGCGUGACGGCGCGAGCAGGUGCGAAAGCAGGUCAUAGUGAUCCGGUGGUUCUGAAUGGAAGGGCCAUCGCUCAACGGAUAAAAGGUACUCCGGGGAUAACAGGCUGAUACCGCCCAAGAGUUCAUAUCGACGGCGGUGUUUGGCACCUCGAUGUCGGCUCAUCACAUCCUGGGGCUGAAGUAGGUCCCAAGGGUAUGGCUGUUCGCCAUUUAAAGUGGUACGCGAGCUGGGUUUAGAACGUCGUGAGACAGUUCGGUCCCUAUCUGCCGUGGGCGCUGGAGAACUGAGGGGGGCUGCUCCUAGUACGAGAGGACCGGAGUGGACGCAUCACUGGUGUUCGGGUUGUCAUGCCAAUGGCACUGCCCGGUAGCUAAAUGCGGAAGAGAUAAGUGCUGAAAGCAUCUAAGCACGAAACUUGCCCCGAGAUGAGUUCUCCCUGACUCCUUGA